UUAUGUAUACAGCUAUAGAGGUAUCGGGAUCAUGAGGGUCGUUUCCGCAGAGUGAGCCUCACCCAUUGCAAUCUGGAUGUGCUGACCCCUGCAACUUUUCCAAAUCUGGGAAGCUUGGCUGCAUGGUUUGCAGUAGUGGGGAACUGCUGUGCUCUUCCCCG